rnacentral:rRNA from 1 species
AGUGAACGCUGGCGGUAGGCCUAACACAUGCAAGUCGAACGGCAGCACAGUAAGAGCUUGCUCUUACGGGUGGCGAGUGGCGGACGGGUGAGGAAUACAUCGGAAUCUACUUUUUCGUGGGGGAUAACGUAGGGAAACUUACGCUAAUACCGCAUACGACCUACGGGUGAAAGCAGGGGAUCUUCGGACCUUGCGCGAUUGAAUGAGCCGAUGUCGGAUUAGCUAGUUGGCGGGGUAAAGGCCCACCAAGGCGACGAUCCGUAGCUGGUCUGAGAUGAUGAUCGGCCACACUGGAACUGAGACACGGUCCAGACUCCUACGGGAGGCAGCAGUGGGGAAUAUUGGGCAAUGGGCGCAAGCCUGAUCCAGCCAUACCGCGUGGGUGAAGAAGGCCUUCGGGUUGUAAAGCCCUUUUGUUGGGAAAGAAAAGCAGCAGGUUAAUACCCCGCUGUUCUGACGGUACCCAAAGAAUAAGCACCGGCUAACUUCGUG